CAGGAUGAACGCUAGCUACAGGCUUAACACAUGCAAGUCGAGGGGCAGCGGGAUUGAAGCUUGCUUCAAUUGCCGGCGACCGGCGCACGGGUGAGUAACGCGUAUCCAACCUUCCGUACACUCAGGGAUAGCCUUUCGAAAGAAAGAUUAAUACCUGAUGGUAUGAUGAGAUUGCAUGAUAGCAUCAUUAAAGAUUUAUCGGUGUACGAUGGGGAUGCGUUCCAUUAGGUAGUAGGCGGGGUAACGGCCCACCUAGCCAACGAUGGAUAGGGGUUCUGAGAGGAAGGUCCCCCACAUUGGAACUGAGACACGGUCCAAACUCCUACGGGAGGCAGCAGUGAGGAAUAUUGGUCAAUGGACGAGAGUCUGAACCAGCCAAGUAGCGUGAAGGAUGAAGGUCCUACGGAUUGUAAACUUCUUUUAUAAGGGAAUAAACCCUCCCACGUGUGGGAGCUUGUAUGUACCUUAUGAAUAAGCAUCGGCUAACUCCGUGCCAGCAGCCGCGGUAAUACGGAGGAUGCGAGCGUUAUCCGGAUUUAUUGGGUUUAAAGGGAGCGCAGACGGGUCGUUAAGUCAGCUGUGAAAGUUUGGGGCUCAACCUUAAAAUUGCAGUUGAUACUGGCGUCCUUGAGUGCGGUUGAGGUGUGCGGAAUUCGUGGUGUAGCGGUGAAAUGCUUAGAUAUCACGAAGAACUCCGAUUGCGAAGGCAGCACACUAAUCCGUAACUGACGUUCAUGCUCGAAAGUGUGGGUAUCAAACAGGAUUAGAUACCCUGGUAGUCCACACGGUAAACGAUGGAUACUCGCUGUUGGCGAUAUACUGUCAGCGGCUUAGCGAAAGCGUUAAGUAUCCCACCUGGGGAGUACGCCGGCAACGGUGAAACUCAAAGGAAUUGACGGA
rnacentral:rRNA from 1 species